rnacentral:sRNA from 1 species
AACGGUUCUAAUCCACCUAUACUGCAGUUCUGCUUGAGAGAAGCCCACAACAAAUCAUUACCUCGUAGUAUUAGCAUUAAUCCUCCGUUUUAAGAUUUACCGUAGUUGCUCAGAGCGUUACCGACCAAAUUGGUCAUUAUGUUUUAAAAUUAGGAUUAUAUAUAUGUCAGAUACUAUCAAAGGUACAGUAAAGUGGUUUAACGAAGCUAAAGGUUUUGGCUUUAUCGCUCCAGAAACUGGUCCAGACGUUUUCGCUCAUUACAGCGAAAUCGCAAGCUCAGGUUUCAAAACUUUAGCUGAAGGCCAAGAAGUUGAGUUCACCGUAACUCAAGGUGCUAAAGGCCCACAAGCCCACGGUAUCACAGCUAUCUAAUUAGCGAUGAUGAUUUAAAGUGGUGAUCAUUAAACACUCAUUACUUUAGAUGAAUCAAAAAACGAGCCUUUGGCUCGUUUUUUUUC